rnacentral:rRNA from 1 species
GACGAACGCUGGCGGCGUGCCUAAUACAUGCAAGUUGAGCGCUGAAGGUUGGUACUUGUACCAACUGGAUGAGCAGCGAACGGGUGAGUAACGCGUGGGGAAUCUGCCUUUGAGCGGGGGACAACAUUUGGAAACGAAUGCUAAUACCGCAUAAAAACUUUAAACACAAGUUUUAAGUUUGAAAGAUGCAAUUGCAUCACUCAAAGAUGAUCCCGCGUUGUAUUAGCUAGUUGGUGAGGUAAAGGCGCACCAAGGCGAUGAUACAUAGCCGACCUGAGAGGGUGAUCAGCCACAUUGGGACUGAGACACGGCCCAAACUCCUACGGGAGGCAGCAGUAGGGAAUCUUCGGCAAUGGACGAAAGUCUGACCGAGCAACGCCGCGUGAGUGAAGAAGGUUUUCGGAUCGUAAAACUCUGUUGGUAGGGAAGAACGUUGGUGAGAGUGGAAAGCUCAUCAAGUGACGGUAACUACCCAGAAAGGGACGGCUAACUACGUG